UACGUAGGCAGCAAGCGUUGUUCGGAGUUACUAGGGCGUGAAAGGUGCGUAGGCGGCUUGGUAAGUGUCGGUGGUGAAAUCUCCCGGCUCAACUGGGAGGGUGCGCGUACAAACUGCCGGGCUGAGAGUGCGGGAGAGGAGAGUGGAAGUUCCGUGGAUGUAGCGGUGAAAUGCGUAGAUAUCGGGAGGAACACCUGUGGCGGAAAGCGGCGCACUGGACCGACAACAUGACGCUGGAGGCGACGAAAGCCUAGGGGAGCAAACAGG
rnacentral:rRNA from 1 species